UACGAAGGGGGCGAGCGUUGUUCGGAAUUACUGGGCGUAAAGGGCGCGCAGGCGGCUCUGAAAGUCAGAUGUGAAAGCCCCGGGCUUAACCUGGGAACUGCAUUUGAUACUCUGGAGCUUGAGUACGGGAGAGGAUAGUGGAAUUCCCAGUGUAGAGGUGAAAUUCGUAGAUAUUGGGAAGAACACCAGUGGCGAAGGCGGCUAACUGGUCCAGAUCUGACGCUGAGGUGCGAAAGCGUGGGGAGCAAACAGG
rnacentral:rRNA from 1 species